rnacentral:rRNA from 1 species
CCAAUAGCGUAUAUUAAAGUUGUUGCAGUUAAAAAGCUCGUAGUUGAACUUCGGGGUUUACCCAUUGGUCAGGCUUAAUUGUCUGUACUGGUGAGAUAAAUCUCUACCUUCUGAGGAACUUUCAUGCCAUUUAUUUGGUGUGAUGGGAAAUCAGGACUGUUACUUUGAAAAAAUUAGAGUGUUUAAAGCAGGCUAACGUCUGAAUACAUUAGCAUGGAAUAAUGAAAUAGGACGGACUGAUUCUAUUUCGUUGGUUUCUAGGAUCACCGUAAUGAUUAAUAGGGAUAGUUGGGGGCAUUAGUAUUCAAUUGUCAGAGGUGAAAUUCUUGGAUUUAUUGAAGACUAACUACUGCGAAAGCAUUUGCCAAGGAUGUUUUCAUUAAUCAAGAACGAAAGUUAGGGGAUCGAAGACGAUCAGAUACCGUCGUAGUCUUAACCAUAAACUAUGCCGACUAGGGAUCGGACGAAGUUAAUUUUAUAAUGACGCGUUCGGCACCUUAC